UCAAAGCAAAUGCAAGCAACUCCGACGAGAGUAUCGUGGCGUUACUUUGCUUGAGUGUAAAAAUACCUUUAUUUUUUACGUAAAAAAAAUCGCCAAUCCCCCCAUUUUAAUCGAAAUCUUUUUGGCAUCUCGAAUCAUGUAGCCUGGCUUUAAAAGUUGUAUGAUUUUGUGCAGAAACGGUGUAAAAUAAGCAGUGUAAACAAAGAGUGUACAAGUUAAGGAACAUGCCAGAGCAAGAAGAAAAAACGCAGAGUGCUUAAAGUAACAAAGUUCUAUAUUUACUAUCAUUUUGUGAGCGAGAAACAAGCGUACCCUCGAAAGGAUGCCUCAGCGUAAAAAGUCCACAAGUACGGAAUCAAGUAGCGGCAGUUCGUCGGAUUCCAGUUCCAGUGGAUCCGAUUCGGGAAGUUCGGGAGGAUCCGAUUCCGGAAGCUCGAGUAGCGAAAGUGAUUCUUCCAGCUCGAGAGAACCGUCGCCCCGUCCUGCCCAAAACACCAAUGCUGCGGUUGCCGGAACAGCUGGCGGGAAUGCCACAAUACAGAAACCGAAUGAAAAAAUUGUAAGGCGACGGAGUUCCGAGGUCGGCAGCGCUACCGCCAAAACGGGAAACCAAAAACCGGAUGGUGCCAAAGAAAAACCACACGCGCUCAAGCAACAAAAAUUGUCCAAAAGUUCCAUCUCUUCGAGUGACGACGAUGAUUCGGAACCGGAAAGCAGCAAAGCGCCAACCGCUGGCAAGAAAGGUCAAGUACAAACGGAGUUAGCGAAGAAGAAGUCCGUUGCUGCGGUUCAGGGCAAAGAGAGAGCACCGGUCCCACCACCGAUCGGUGGCGGUAAGGUUCCACCGUCCGUGAUUAAGCAGCAACACCAGCAAAACCAUCCAAAUGCAACGCCGGCCACGAAAGGUGCCGUAAAGGCUAGUACGGUGGUGAAAAGUCUGCACAAGACAAACAACAAUGGUGCCAGUGCAUUAACCGGGGUAAAAAAACCGAUCCCUAGUGCAACGCAAGCCCUCACGACACCGGCCACUAAGGGCAAAAAGAAAAGUAUCUUUUCGCCCGUCAAUUCAUCGGAAUCAGAGGUGGAAACGACACCGGAAAAAUCGGAUAUGCAAACAGACAGGCGAACGUCCAGCUCGAGCUCCACUAGUGGGAAUGCAGUUGCGUCGGGAGUGGUGGCGACUGGAGCUGACCUGUUUGACAAGAAUCCUUCCGGAACUGGUGGUACAUCGAGCAACGCCACAGCGACAGCAUUGUUGCGAGGACGCGGACGUCCUCGGAAGGCAUCACAAGUAGGGUCACAAAACAUUACCGCUCCAAAGCCGGUCGGACAGGUGAAACCACAACCCGGUGGAUCCUCGAGUGCAACGAACAAAGUAGCCAGUCCAGCCUCCGUUCCCUCGUCCAAGUCGAUAAAAUCCCCCAUUCGAGCACUAUCGUCCGCUACGUCAAGCUCGAGCGAAUCAUCCUCGAGUGGCUCGUCGGACACGGAAACCGAAUCUUCGGAUGAUUCGUCACCGUCGAUCAGUGCAGCAGCGGCACAGAAUUACAAGAAAUCGAACAACACCAUGAAGCGAGUACUGGAAAGAACGCCACAGAAGAAUGAUGCUUCUAAGGAUGGUGCCGGUGCUGGCUCGGACGGUUCGGAGACGGAACGGUUAAAGCAAACGCGAAAGUUAACUCGCUCGGCAAGCACCCGUAAAUCGAAACACUUGCUCGGUAAGAACGCGUCCGAGACCGAUUCCGAGGCUGAGAGUGUGAAAAACUCUGCCUCGAAAAGCCCGGCCAAGAAGGCGCCAUCCGUGCCCUCGAAGGGCAAGGCCAAGAAUAGCAUCGCCAACUCGCUGUCCAGCAAACGAGCGAACGAUAAGCCGAAGGAGCUGCUGAUCGAGGAAGCCCCCGUCGAGCGUCGCUGUCCGCUGGAGAAGUGUGAUUCCAUGGGGCACAUGGGUGGUCAAUUUGAGAAGCACUUCACGCUGGAGGCUUGCCCAAUGUAUCACAACAUGAGCACCGAUCAAACGAAGCAACUGCUGCACGAGCGAAAGCUACGCGAAGACGAACGGCGUCGUUCGAUUCCGGUGUACGAGAAUUCGAAAAAGAUUCAAACCCCAGAACAGAAGCUGUACGCACAAAAGAUCCGUGAUUUGCGGGCACGCUUCAAACCGUCCACACCGCCACCCCUAUCCGAACGACCAAAGCCGUUGAUCGAUCGAGAUGGGAAUGAAAUCAAGCCCGAACCUAAUCUGGAAGGCAUUGUACCGGACUACGACCUGCAGCUGUUCCGUGAAGCGCAAGCACUGGCGAGCGAAAGCAUUGAGAAGGAGCUGGGCGAUAUGGUGACCGGCAAGGGCACGAAAUACAUUUCGAUGGGUCGGCACUGCAUGCAGGUGUGGUACCAGUCACCGUAUCCGGACGAUGCGACGAGACUGCCGAAGCUGUAUUUGUGUGAAUUUUGCUUGCGCUAUCAAAAGUCUGAGGUGGGCAUGAAGCGGCAUGCCGCCAAAUGUGUCUGGCGGCAUCCACCGGGUGAUGAGAUUUACCGCAAGGGUAAGCUGGGCGUAUGGCAGGUGGAUGGAAAGCGACACAAACAGUAUUGCCAGCAUCUGUGCCUGUUGGCCAAAUUCUUCCUCGACCAUAAAACGCUCUACUACGAUGUGGAACCGUUUCUCUUUUACGUGAUGACGCUGGCGGAUAGCGAUGGAUGUCAUACGGUGGGAUACUUCAGCAAGGAGAAAAACUCAUUCCUCAACUACAACGUGUCCUGUAUCCUCACCUUACCACCGUACCAAAGGAAGGGCUACGGCCGGCUGCUGAUCGACUUCACGUCAUCGUUCUAAUGAUCGUCCCGUCUGUGGCUCUUCGUGGCAAUCUUCGUCAAUGUUCUCGAUUGGCUCGCGCUACCCGUUGCCAAUGCAGUGGCGAUAAUAAUGUCAAAUUAUGCACUCGCCGUGCAUCGCUUUUCCACGGCGACUCAUUUUGAUGAGCUGACGUGUGAUGAGGGAAACAUGCGCAGGAUAAGGAGAGCCGAAGAUGAGCUAACCCAGAACCGCCGCUAAGACGAGUCCACGUAAGGCAACAUCGCAAGAUACGAGAAGUGAAAAAUGUGUAAAUUAAAUAGUUAGCAAAAGCAAACCCACCAACGACAUGCUGGUAGCUUGCAACGUACGACUCAUCGUAACAUGAUCCCAAACGGCAUUGACUCUCGGAUGUGACUUCGAUGCUCGGAGCGAAUGAUAAUUUACUUUCGUUGACAAAAUUUCACCCAGGGAAAAAUGUGUCACUCAAAGCAUUUGGCCGUCGCUGUCGGGCGUUUAAAACAGAGCAGCACGAACCGUUUCAUGGGUGUCCCUGCGCUGCUUCGCACGAGAGCGAAGGGCGAGUGCAGAAAUGCAUACCAGGGGCGCUCCAGCCCCACGGACGGUGCACGGAAAUGACGCUGAACAAACGGAAAUAAUUACACUCUCAUCAUCGUCCGUUCGUUGUGGUUGUUGUGGAUAAUUUUGCCGGGCUUCUACUACCAUCAUCACUAUCAUCAUUGCAUCAUUAUCUUAACGCUCUUCAGCAGUCAAGUCGUCCACCUGUUUCGGGGUUUCGCUGUUGCACUGCACCUAGUGUGUCACUCGGGUGCCCGCCGGUUAAUGUUAGGAGUAGUUAGGCAUGCUUUUUUUGUUGCCCCCCUUGUCUUUUUGUUUCAUUCAUCUUUCGGUUAGCAGAACACGAACAGCAAAACAAUAUGGUACUUACCGGGGUACCAGGGUUUUACGAGGCCUCUAACGGGUCUGGUGCAGCUAGUGCAUUAUUAUUGUACUGUUGGGACGCGAAUGCAUUGAAAAGCUUCGUUGUUUCUUAUAUUUUAAAUGAAGCUUUGCUUGAAGGUUUUCAUGUACAUGUAGGUCAGGGUAGGUUUAGGUUUGAUUAAAGCGAGAUACAUUCAAUGUGGCUGUAAUUUACAGAAAUUUAUAUUCAAUUCCCAAGAGAAGAAUGAAGUCCAAUGACUCAAAGUCUCUUUAAAUUAGCAAACCAACAAACUAUUUCAAAUUUCCUUUUCAGUAUAAUAGUAAGUGGCUUCAUUAAAUGUUUAUUUGAUGAUCCAUACACAGCUUUUGUGCCAAAAAUUACACAAAAAAUUACAAUGCUUUGUAGGGUUAUUUAGAACAGGUUUCUUUAAAACUUACACUGGGGUGUUUUGUACCUCGAGUGAGAUUAAUGUCAGGUGAUUGUAAUAAGCGUCAGUGAGGCCUGAUCCUGGUCUAAUCCAUCAUCAUCGAAAUCGGCUGAUUUGUUAGCCCUAGAAGUAUCAGAAUGUAUCAUCCGAUCUAGUUCGUAAAGUCUUUUUAGGGCAUCCACAUGGACAGAGGAGAUGUGGUAGUCUCAAGUUGAGCUUAAGUGAUGACGUAGAUGCAUCGUCCAGAACGGCCAGUGUAAUGAAUAAGUAGACGAUGGCAUUAAGUAGAACAAUGAUGAUCACACCGAAUGAUGCGAAUGCCGUGGUGCAUACUUCAGUUCUUCAGUGUCUCCAUCAGGAAGGAGACCUCUGCUCCAAUUGAUCCGACAACUGCUGCACCUUCAAAUACGACUUAAUCUUGAGUCAAGAAACUUCAGAACGUAACAGCUACACCCAGCAUAAGAUCAAACACGAGAGUCAACAAAAGACAGACUUGAGGCCGUCUCCAGCUCCUCCAGUUGCAUAUCAGCAAUAAAUAGCAUAUCCACAUUUGAUGUGAGUUGCGCUGUGUGACCGCUGUCAGAGCGAAAGAUAAUUUAUGAUGUGCAGAACAACAAGAGUGUUUGCUGCUGCUGCUGCUGCUUUGGUUUUCGCCAUCCUUCGCGCACAUCAAAACGUGUGAAAAAUGCAUACCCUGCCGGCAUUAGCUGGGCGCUGCUAAUCGAUGGACCGCUCAUUCCGAACAAUGUAAUAAUUUUGCUCGCAACAAGUGAGCGCGUGAUUGUACAUCCACAUCCUCAAAGUUGGCUGUUGCGACCGACCGAACGCCAAAACGGUACUAAUUGUAAGCUUCCGCGAAUGCACCGGUGCGAAUGGUUCUGCAUUGACGACGAGUGUCCGUGAUGGAAGGAAUGAUGAUUGAUGAUAUGGGAAAUUGAAGGGAGUGUCCCUAACCUUAUCCCAUACCUUGUAAGGGGCUUCCGAAGCGUAGCGCCCAGUAUGUAUCCUGUAACCAAAGGUGGUCGAGAAGGAGUCGAGGCGGCGAGGAGAAAAUGCAAUUCACGCCGUUAAUCACGCUGCAAUAUAUGCUUGACGGGGUGGGCUGGUGGAAUAGUAUUUUUUAUGCCGUCGGUUAUGUUGUCCCCAGGUCGAGCGGCUCGUACGCGUCGUCCUGCUGAAGAUCGUGAGUCUUACAAGCCAGGAACAUAAUGGCAAUUGUUAAUGAAGGUUGAUUGCAUGUGCAUAAAUUCUUCUCGUCCACCGUGAAACAAGUAACCAACGGCGUGAUGCAAAAUGCGCUAAUGACAUCGUUAGCUUAAUCUGUUUAUUUAAAAGUGAUUAAUAAUGCUGCUUAGUAGUUUCGCACACCGACCUAGCGCCUGGGUAUGGUAGGGCUAGCUGCCUCAUAAUGUGUGGUGGAUUUAGUUCGUAUAGUUCAGGUAUUUUAAUCAAAUUAGAAUAAUUAUGACAUUUUUGGUGCUAAAAAGCUUUUUUUUCUAGUUAUAAAACAGUUUCAAAUUUGCCGGAAUAUUCAGAGAAUUUUUUUUUGUUCUAUUGGAAUCCUUUGGGUUUAAUGAUCUUUUUUUUUCUUUGCCAAUUUUACGAAAACCACCCUUGUCUCAUAUGCUACAAUAAUCUCUUUUCACCUGUAAAGCAAUAUUAAGGAGUCACUAAGGAAGAUCUUACAAGCUUGAUGCUAGAAAAUUCAAUGUUAUUAUCUGAAGUAGUUACGCUGUUUCUAAGAUGUGUUAGUCAUUUUGAUACGAUGACUUCAACCCAAUUUAGUUUAGUUUAGGAAAUUGAUUUUUUUAACCAAUUUGUUCUUAUAAUUACAAAGCUCAAGAGAAAAAGGAUCAAUCCAAUCAAACUGAGAGCCUUCCCAUCUUCCAUGAAAUGUGUUUUUCAUAAUAAGUCUCAGGAAAAUGGUAAAAACGCCAUCAUAAGAAUUUAAAAUGUUAUUUAGGAAUUAUUUUAAGCUCGUAUCGCUCGUAACUACCAAUGCUGCCUCAAAAUUCAAUAAUAGCACCACAAAAAUAAUUUAAUAUGAUAAAUACUUCUUGAGCGAUAAAUCGAUCACGUGUAAUGUUGCGAUGAUUACGGAGCGUCCCAGUUUGAUAAUAAUUACUUAGCUUCGAUACGAAUGAUAUGUCAAUUCAAGGAAAGCUAUAAUUCAAAUUUGGAAUCAAAAGACGGUAAUCACUGCACCGUAUUGUAAACAUGAAUUAAAAUCAUCAAGCUUUAUGCACUUCAAA